GAGAUCAAAGUCUACCAUUCCCGAGGGAGGAAAGGAGAAAAAAGAGCGGAAGGACGGCAGAGAUCGUCGACAAAGGUUCGAUCACUAAGGGAAGGGCUUUUCGCGGCCAACCAGUGUCGGAAAUCACAAAAACCCACUGAAUUUUCAGACAACCCGCAACCCCAAUGCGUGAUUAAACUGGCAUUUUGAUCAAGAGAAUCCGAUUAUGGAUUAAGAGGAUCUCAACCUUGAAUCGGAUCAAGAAGAAGUUACAUGAGCACCCGUGACGAAAA